GGAGACCUGACACCUACGAAGAGGGUACGCCUCCCCCGGAGAGAGUACACCUCCCCCGGACAGAGUACACCUCCCCUGACAGGGUACGCCUGCAGGUGAUGUGGUGUCUGACGACCACCGUGAGGAAUGCAUCCCUUGACACCUACGAAGAGGGUACGCCUCCCCCGGACAGGGUACACCUCCCCCGGAUAGAGUACACCUCCCCAGGACAGGGUACACCUCCCUCUGACAGGGUACACCUCCAAGUGAUGUGGUGCUCGACUACCACCGUGAGGAAUGAAUUCCCUGACACCUCCGAAGAAGGCGCACCUCCGGGUAAGAUUCUCACAAUGCUUUCGCAUGUUAUUGCUAACAAGUCUGUUGUGGUUUGAGUCUUUACGAGAAGGAGAUCGCCUCCCUGGAAGCCUCAACGGUUUUCUGAAGGGGCGCGCCCUCCCCAGAGCAAGUAAUUUGAGGUUCGCGAGAGGCGCAUGUUGGAGGCCUGACCACGUGUGAUGAUAUGAACGGGAAGGUUACGAAGGGCGAGCUAUUGAGAUGGAACCUAGCUCGAAAAGUCGUAAGGGUGCGCGCCUUCCCCUGACCGGGCGCGCCCUCAGGUAAAUACUAAACUCCCCCAGUAUUUGGUUCCCUAAGACUACUACAUGUGUAAAAUUCACAGGUAAUAUGGUGUUACCUUUAUGAGGAAUACACCUCUUCGCCGUGAGGAGUAGUCGCACUUUCCUCCAGCAAGGCGCGC
rnacentral:lncRNA from 1 species